rnacentral:rRNA from 1 species
UCAGACGAUGCGUCAUGCAUAUCAAUAAGCGGAGGAAAAGAGACUAACAAGGAUUCCCCUAGUAACGGCGAGUGAAGCGGGAAGAGCUCAAAUUUGAAAUCUUAAAGGGUUUCCCUUUACGAAUUGUAGUUUAAAGAAGUGUUUUCUGUUGAGGUUUUGGUAAAAGUUCUUUGGAAUAGGACAUCAUAGAGGGUGAGAAUCCCGUAUUUGACCUUUACUUUCAACUUUGUGAUACACUUUCAAAGAGUCGGAUUGUUUGGGAAUGCAGUCCAAAAUGGGUGGUAAAUUUCAUCUAAAGCUAAAUAUUGGCGAGAGACCGAUAGCGAACAAGUACCGUGAGGGAAAGAUGAAAAGAACUUUGAAAAGAGAGUUAAACAGUACGUGAAAUUGUCAAAAGGGAAGCGUUUGACACCAGUGUUGUUUUUCUGAAAAUCAAUUAAAGAACUGUUUAUGCUAAGUUGUUUAGACUUUAUCAGCUAACUGUUUAGUUUUGAGCUUUUCUUUAAUGCACUUUUCAGUUAACAAGUCAACAUCAAUUUCUUUUGCUGUAAAAAAGCUUGAGGAAGGUGGCUUGAGAUUCGUCUUAAGUGUUUAUAGCCUCUUGCCUAUGCAGUCGGAGAGAUUGAGGUCUGCAGCGUAGAUCCUUCGGGGCUAAAUGCAUUUGUGCUAAGUUAUAACAUUUUAUAGACAACUUGUUGACUAUGAUUUGUCUUGUAGCUUACUCGCUUAUGUUAUUUUACCUACGCUUAGGAUGUUGAAUCUGUGCGAGACUAC